rnacentral:lncRNA from 1 species
UACAAGUCUCCACCUCCACCAUCUCCCUCACCUCCACCUCCAUACCACUACUCUUCACCUCCUCCUCCAAAGAAGUCUCCCAUCCCCCAUACGUCUACAAGUCUCCCUCCUCCUCCACACUACUAAGCUUCUUUUUGAUCAAGAUAUGAGAUGCAUACGUAGCAGUAGCAAUAACGUACUUCUCUCUAUAUCGUUUACGAACAAAAUUCCAAAAUGACGGCAAUGAUCUUGAAUGAAACAAGCUUUUCUCUACAAUAAGGAUCUAUAGUGAAGUCCAUGGUGAAGUGAAACAGUGUUAUUUAUUGUAUCACUUUGUUGUCUUGUAAUCUAAUGUAAUGUAAUGGCAGUAAUUACAAUUCCAAGAAGGAUUAUAUACUUGCGUUUUCUUGAUCAAAUUCACAUAUUGCUUUCUAUUUAAAAUUA